rnacentral:tRNA from 1 species
GAGCCCAUAGCUCAGCUGGUUAGAGCACCUGCCUUUUAAGCAGGGUGUCCUGAGUUCAAGUCUCAGUGGGCUCACCA